UUCCCUCCCUCAAACACAGCCCGUUGUGUUUGCAUGGACGCCAGGUGGCUCUGCUGAGAUUCAAACUUAUUUGCCGGUCGGGUCGACGUUGUGUUCCAGGCCGAAAUACGCCGCCACUCUGUGCAGCAGCAUCCGGUGGUACGAUGUCAUGGGGGGGAACUUCCUCUUGUGGCACCUGAAAAAAGACUGUGGAGCAGCUCGUCGCUAAUAAGUCACUGUGUAACUGUUGU